rnacentral:tRNA from 1 species
GCCGCCUUAGCUCAGCUGGUAGAGCGACGCUCUUGUAAAGCGUAGGUCAUCGGUUCGAAGCCGAUAGGCGGCU